rnacentral:rRNA from 1 species
UACGUAGGGUGCGAGCGUUGUCCGGAAUUAUUGGGCGUAAAGGGCUCGUAGGCGGUUUUGUCGCGUCGGGAGUGAAAACCUCGGGCUUAACUCGGGGCUUGCUUUCGAUACGGGCAGACUAGAGGUAUGCAGGGGAGAACGGAAUUCCUGGUGUAGCGGUGAAAUGCGCAGAUAUCAGGAGGAACACCGGUGGCGAAGGCGGUUCUCUGGGCAUGAUCUGACGCUGAGGAGCGAAAGUGUGGGGAGCGAACAGG